UCCUGGCCAAGGUCCUUUGCUGACAGAGAAGGAAACUCACCAAAACUAGUUUGAGGAAAGAGAGAAAUUAAAUGGCGGGGCAGAGGUGAUUUCAUAGUCUCUGUGAGCAAAAGCAUAGGCAGGCCUCAUGGGACCCUGGAAAAAGAACAGAAAUACCUGCAAAUGAAGUUCCACUCUCAUUCUCUUACCGGGGGCCAUUCCUGCAUUGCACCCGCAGAUGUUGCUGCUACUCUGCAAGAAAUUUGUGGGGUUCUAACCUCUGCCUCACCAUGUGUCUGCUUCAGUUUCUUCUUUCUGCCAAGGUGGAAAGUGGCCAUCCCAACUGUACCUUUGCAGGACCCAACGCUGACCAUUGAGAGACUCUGGGUCAACUCCAAGCUGGAAUGAGAAAGACUGUCAGCAAGUUCAAUGGAGAGAAUUCCGAGCCGGGUGGGGAGUGGGGGCAAGACAGCAGAGACACAGGGAGCAGGUGGGCCUCUCAGAGCUCUGUAAGUCACCCCAUAAAGGCAGCCGCUUCCUCUGCCUGUAACAGUGGCAGGUCUUGCCCGAAGGUGUAUUUCAGGAAGACGGGGGAUGAGCUGAACUAUGCCUUCUCCAGAGCAGGCUAGACAUGUGGCCUAGGUGACAGAGAGAGAGCAAG
rnacentral:lncRNA from 1 species